UCCAGGGUAGCCUAGUGGACAUGGCAUCUGCCCGGUAAGCGUCUCACUGUGGGUUCGAUUCCCAUCCCUGGAC